AGCCAUUGCAAUUGUAUGGCUUCAAGCAUAAACAUAUGAGCUGCGAAAAAACAAAAAUUCAGAAUUAAAAGAAAUUGAUCCAGAUUAAAGUUUUAGCCAUUCUCAAAUGAAUGAAACAAAUUUAUGAUGACGAAUUUUGAUCUGGCCCUUUUAUGUGUUAAGCUGGGAAAAUAAACCUUUUCUUCUCUUUCUGUCUCUUUUUAGUGGCUAAGGACCAUAGCAGGCAGAUGCUGACACACCACACCGAUGUGGCUGAGUAGGACUUCUGAGGAAGAUGUAUGCACUUCGUUUCUAUGCAAAUUGGUAUAUUCAUUCUAAAUGAACUUUUACACACCUUGAAAAGAUUUUCUGCCAAAAAUGAUCAGAAAAAAAAAUCAUAUUUUUGUUUCUCAGGGAUUGGCCACUGAAAUUCAGCUGCACAAUUCAGGACACUACAAGAGGGGAUUAGGAACCAAAUGCAGCUUGCCCAUACUUGUCCUAAAUUUUCAAGGCUUAAGAAACAUUUUGCUACCACACUAUUCAAAUGAUGUAUCAGUGUGAUAUACUGAAUACAACAAACAAAGCUGGACUUACUGUCUUGAAAUCCAGAACCCUGGUGGACUCCUUGAAGAACAGUCAAAAUUUCCCGGGCAGUUUGCUCCACACCAUGAACAACUUUCCUAAUCUCCUGUAUUUGAUAAAAAAUUCUCUGAGCAUGAUUGUUAAAAACAAAAACAUUUUCAAACAA